CCUACGGAGUGCAGCAGUGGGGAAUAUUGGACAAUGGGCGAAAGCCUGAUCCAGCCAUGCCGCGUGUGUGAAGAAGGCCUUCGGGUUGUAAAGCACUUUCAGUGGGGAAGAAAGCCUUGGGGCUAAUACCCUCGAGGAAGGACAUCACCCACAGAAGAAGCACCGGCUAACUCCGUGCCAGCAGCCGCGGUAAUACGGAGGGUGCGAGCGUUAAUCGGAAUUACUGGGCGUAAAGCGCGCGUAGGCGGUCUGAUAAGCCGGUUGUGAAAGCCCCGGGCUCAACCUGGGAACGGCAUCCGGAACUGUCAGGCUAGAGUGCAGGAGAGGAAGGUAGAAUUCCCGGUGUAGCGGUGAAAUGCGUAGAGAUCGGGAGGAAUACCAGUGGCGAAGGCGGCCUUCUGGACUGACACUGACGCUGAGGUGCGAAAGCGUGGGUAGCAAACAGGAUUAGAUACCCUUGUAGUC
rnacentral:rRNA from 1 species